CUGCAAUGGUGGAAAUGUUCUGUAUCUGCUUUGUAGCCACUACUCAUAUGUGGCUUUUGAGCACUUGAAAUGUGACUAAUGUGCCUGAAAAACUGAAUUUUAAAUUUUAUUUAAUUUUAAUUAAUAUAAAUUGAGAGAGCCACUUAUGGCUUUGGGCUACUCUAUUAGAAAGCAUAGUUCUAGAAUUCAGUGUUACCAUUCCUCUACUCCUUAAGCUUUUUUUAACUGAAAUGUCUCCAUUUCAGUGAGGCCAUCCAUGACCAUGUGAUUUUAAAUUGUAGCCCUUCCCAUCUGCCCCUUUCCUGCUCUCUUUCCUAGCCCUCCAAUGUUGCCAUCCAACAUUCUAUGUAUUUUACUUAUCGAUUUUCUCUGUUGUCUGCCUCCCCACAACAAGAAUAUAAGUCCCACAAGGGCUUGAAAGUCUUUUUCCUUUUGUUCAGUAUCUAGAACAUAUGAGUUGAAGAACUGAAUUUUACCACAUAUAAGGACCCAGUUUUUCAAAAGGAGCUUAAUCUGGAUUUUUACAUAAACUCUCCUGAUUUUGCAAUGUUGGAAGUUAAAACAAAAAAGCAAAUCCUAUGUAUGCCAACAUUGCACAGGUCAAACAAAACCACUGGAGUAUCAGAGCUGAUUUUUACUUAGGAGAAUGACAUCAUCAAAGUUAAAGUUUAUGGAAAUACAUAUGGUAAGAAAACACAAGUUUUAUUGGCUAUUUGCAGUGAGGGGCAAUGGGAGACCAGGAAGAUAACUUUGACUUUCACCUAGCUACAAAGGGAUGAGGGUUUGAAUGAGUGGGGUCAGUGGAAAAAGAGAGAGGUUAGAUGUCAGAGAUUAUAAAAGAAAGCUCCUCAGGGCUUGGACACAUGUUAGGAGGAGUAGAAAAGUACUUCAGGUGGUGAUACAGAUUGUAUUUUACAAAGAUGACCAACACAGCAUCUCCUAUCCCUACGAUCUUCUGCAGUACAAUCUUGACACGCCCCCAUGAAGAAAACAGGAUUUAUUUCUCCAUCGCCUUGAACCUGGGCUGGCCCUAUGACUACUUUGGCCAGUAGAAUCCUGCAGAGGUAACAGUGCCUGUUCUUCAGGUGUGCAAGUUUACCAGGCCCUUGGGUAUUUAGGACACUGGUGCAAAAAAAUACCCAAGAAGACAGAGCAAGAAGGCAAUAAGAGAAAUAACUUGACCAACAGACAGCAAGAAAGCCAGGCCAGUCUUGUCCCAUCCUCCCUACUCUGCUAUGGAAAUCUACUCAUCCUUUCACAGAUCAAACAAUAUCUCCUCCCAGAAGCCUUCUCUGCUCUGCCCAUUGGGAUUAAUCCUUCCUCAGAGGCUACGGACAUGUGAUAUUGCAACAAACGGAAUGCAGGAACAGAUAAGGCACUCCAGCAGCUCCUUCGAAGCCAAACAUCAAGGAAAUUAACAAAAAUAUAAACAAUGCCAUUCUUUUCACUAACUUUGUUUUGUUUGGGGGAAGUUAUUUUUCAUAAAACAUAUUUCUAUUAACA